rnacentral:tRNA from 2 species
GCCCUCAUCGUCUAGAGGCCUAGGACACCGCCCUUUCAAGGCGGCAGCACGGGUUCGAAUCCCGUUGGGGGCA